rnacentral:rRNA from 1 species
UACGGGGGGAGCAAGCGUUGUUCGGAUUUACUGGGCGUAAAGGGCGCGUAGGCGGCCUCCGCAAGUCAGUUGUGAAAUCUCCGAGCUUAACUCGGAAAGGUCAACUGAUACUGCGGGGCUAGAGUGCGGAAGGGGCAACUGGAAUUCUUGGUGCAGCGGUGAAAUGCGUAGAUAUCAAGAGGAACACCUGCGGCGAAGGCGGGUUGCUGGGCCGACACUGACGCUGAUGCGCGAAAGCUAGGGGAGCGAACGGG